UACGGGGGGUGCGAGCGUUGUCCGGAAUCACUGGGCGUAAAGGGCGCGUAGGUGGUCUGAUAAGGGUGUGGUGAAAGUCCGGGGCUCAACCCCGGAUCUGCCGUGCCGACUGUCAGACUCGAGGACUGUAGAGGCAGGCGGAAUUCCGGGUGUAGCGGUGGAAUGCGUAGAGAUCCGGAAGAACACCGGUGGCGAAGGCGGUCUGCUGGGCAGUUGCUGACACUGAGGCGCGACAGCGUGGGGAGCAAACAGG
rnacentral:rRNA from 1 species